GGGCCUGGCAGCAGUGACCCUUGGGCCAGCUGGGAGAGGGCAGCGGGGAGGAGGGGGUCGCGUGUCUGGAGGUCGGAGCCUCUGUUCCCUGGAAGCGAAUGAGAAGCGGGAGAUCUUGAGGUGACUGCCCUGGGCCCCGCAGCCGGGUGUGGAGACAAUAGGAACUUGUGAGAGUGCCAGCCGGGAGAGAGUCAAUCCGUCUCUGCACAAUGGGGAGAGAGUGGCCCUUCUCCUCCGAGCUCAUGGUGUGUGCGGAGCAGAGGCAGAGUUUUGCCUGCUAUCCGGGUGCCCACAGUUCUGGGGUUACAGACCUGAGCCACCACACAUGACUCAACACGGAGCCAGCCACCUCUGCAGCCCCAGCCUUGAAUGCUCCAACACUCUUGUCCUAAGCACUUCAGGAUUCUAGCACAGCCUGAAGACCAGCAGCUCUCCAGAAAUCCCCCAGCGCUUCGACUGAUUGGAACCUCAGAAACAGCCAACCCUGUGGACU